rnacentral:rRNA from 1 species
GUGGGGAAUUUUGGACAAUGGGCGCAAGCCUGAUCCAGCAAUGCCGCGUGUGUGAAGAAGGCCUUCGGGUUGUAAAGCACUUUUGGCAGGAAAGAAAUAGUGCGUGCUAAUACCAUGCGCGAAUGACGGUACCUGCAGAAUAAGCACCGGCUAACUACGUGCCAGCAGCCGCGGUAAGACGUAGGGUGCAAGCGUUAAUCGGAAUUACUGGGCGUAAAGCGUGCGCAGGCGGUUUUGUAAGACAGGUGUGAAAUCCCCGGGCUCAACCUGGGAACUGCACUUGUGACUGCAAGGCUAGAGUGUGUCAGAGGGAGGUGGAAUUCCGCGUGUAGCAGUGAAAUGCGUAGAGAUGCGGAGGAACACCGAUGGCGAAGGCAGCCUCCUGGGAUAACACUGACGCUCAGGCACGAAAGCGUGGGGAGCAAACAGGAUUAGAAACCCCAGUAGUCC